rnacentral:tRNA from 1 species
GCCCGUCUAGCAAAAUCGGCCAAUGCGUCCGACUCUUAAUCGGAAGGUUGUGGGUUCGAGUCCCACGGUGGGCU